GACGAACGCUGGCGGCGUGCUUAACACAUGCAAGUCGAACGGAACGGCCCUGCUUUUGUGGGGUGCUCGAGUGGCGAACGGGUGAGUAACACGUGAGUAACCUGCCCUUGACUUUGGGAUAACUUCAGGAAACUGGGGCUAAUACCGGAUAGGAGCUCCUGCUGCAUGGUGGGGGUUGGAAAGUUUCGGCGGUUGGGGAUGGACUCGCGGCUUAUCAGCUUGUUGGUGGGGUAGUGGCUUACCAAGGCUUUGACGGGUAGCCGGCCUGAGAGGGAGAGCGGCCACAUUGGGACUGAGAUACGGACCAGACUCAUACGGGAGGCAGAGGUGGGGGUGGUUGAACAAGGGGCGGAAGCCUGAGCCAGCAACGCCGCGUGCGGGAUGACGGCCUUCGGGUUGUAAACCGCUUUCGCCUGUGACGAAGCGGGAGUGACGGUAAUGGGUAAAGAAGCACCGGCUAACUACGUG
rnacentral:rRNA from 1 species